rnacentral:lncRNA from 1 species
AUUUUUUUAUAUAUUUUUGGUUUUUUUUUCCGUUCAGUAUUUUCUUUAUUUUUCGUUUGUUUUUUAUUUAUUAUUUUUCUUUUAAAUUUUUUAUAUAUUUAUGUAAUACUUUUAAAAUAUUACAUUUCUUCAUAACAAUAAUUACUUUUAAAAUUAGUUGUGUAUUUGAUAAAUGGAGAAUGAGUCCUAUAAAAGUGAAGAUUAAUUGUAAGAGUAAUAAUGAGUGCAAUUAUUUCUAAAAGUAGGUUAGAAUGAUGUUUUGAUGACGGAUCAAAAUAGAAAGAGAUAAAGAUAUUUGAGGAACGGAUGAAGUAUUUAAU